UACGUAGGGGGCAAGCGUUGUCCGGAAUUAUUGGGCGUAAAGCGCGUGUAGGCGGCUCGAUAAGUCUGCUGUGAAAGUCCAAGGCUCAACCUUGGAAUGCCGGUGGAUACUGUCGAGCUCGAGUCCGGAAGAGGCGAGUGGAAUUCCUGGUGUAGCGGUGAAAUGCGCAGAUAUCAGGAGGAACACCAGUGGCGAAGGCGACUACCUGGCCUGUUCUUGACGCUGAGGCGCGAAAGCUAGGGGAGCAAACGGG
rnacentral:rRNA from 1 species